UACAGAGGUGGCAAGCGUUGUUCGGAAUUACUGGGCGUAAAGGGCGCGUAGGCGGCCUUCUAAGUCAGACGUGAAAUCCCCCGGCUUAACCUGGGAACUGCGUCUGAUACUGGGAGGCUUGAGUAUGGGAGAGGGAUGUAGAAUUCCAGGUGUAGCGGUGAAAUGCGUAGAUAUCGGGAGGAACACCGGUGGCGAAGGCGGUUCUCUGGGCCUGUACUGACGCUGAGGAGCGAAAGCGUGGGGAGCGAACAGG
rnacentral:rRNA from 1 species